rnacentral:sRNA from 1 species
CAUUACUGUAGGUUUGGCGUGGGCUUCGGGGCCUCCGGGUCUUUGAGGCAUUCUGCCGGCCUAUGUAUCACUACAAACACAUAAAGUAACAGAAUGUAUUAGCGUCUAACGCAUCUAAAUACAACUUUCAGCAACGGAUCUCUUGGCUCUCGCAUCGAUGAAGAACGCAGCGAAAUGCGAUAAGUAAUGUGAAUUGCAGAAUUCAGUGAAUCAUCGAAUCUUUGAACGCACCUUGCGCUCCUUGGUAUUCCGAGGAGCAUGCCUGUUUGAGUGUCAUGGAAUUCUCAACCCACACGUCCUUGUGAUGCUGUGGGCUUGGACUUGGAGGCUUGCUGGCCCUCGUCGGUCGGCUCCUCUUGAAUGCAUUAGCUUGAUUCCGUGCGGAUCGGCUCUCAGUGUGAUAAUUGUCUACGCUGUGACCGUGAAGCGUUUGGCGAGCUUCUAACCGUCCUGUAUGGGACAACCUCUUGACAUCUGACCUCAAAUCAGGUAGGACUACCCGCUGAACUUAA